rnacentral:rRNA from 1 species
UACGUAGGGUGCAAGCGUUGUCCGGAAUUAUUGGGCGUAAAGAGCUCGUAGGCGGUCUGUCACGUCGGCUGUGAAAACCCGAGGCUCAACCUCGGGCCUGCAGUCGAUACGGGCAGGCUAGAGUUCGGUAGGGGAGACUGGAAUUCCUGGUGUAGCGGUGAAAUGCGCAGAUAUCAGGAGGAACACCGAUGGCGAAGGCAGGUCUCUGGGCCGAUACUGACGCUGAGGAGCGAAAGCGUGGGGAGCGAACAGA